CUUGUUGCUUUCAUAACUGCAGGCUCGACUCGUAUUAGUUAUGGGAUGACGGGACUACUAAGAUUGCGCAGUGAAAAUGAUAGUUACCUUA
rnacentral:ribozyme from 1 species